UAAUUUAUAUAUAUUUUCAGUAUUUAAUUUUUUAGAAAUAAUUUAUGUUAUAUAAAGUUAUUUAUUUUAGUUUUAACUAAAAUUGUGCCAGCAGUUGCGGUUAUACAAUUAAAACAAAUUAUAUAUUUUGAUUUAAUAUUUUUAUUUUUAUUUAUUUAUUUAUAAUUUUAUUAGGUGAAAUUAUAAAAUUAUUAUAUUUUUGGUUUUUAUAAAUAUAUUAAAAUUUUUUAAUAAACUAGGAUUAGAUACCCUAUUAUUUUAAUUGUAAAUUAUUUUUCAUAUUAUUAUUAAUUAUAUUUUGAAAGUAAAAGAAUUUGGCGGUAAUUUAAUCUUUUUAGAGGAAUCUGUCCUAUAAUUGAUAAUCCACGAUUAAUUUUACUUAAUUUUAUUAUUUAUAUAUCGUUGUCAUUGAAUGUUUUAUAAGAAAAUUUUCUUUAAAAUUUUAUUAAUAUUAUGUUAGAUCAAGGUGUAAUUAUAUUUAAGUAGAGAUGGAUUACAUUUAUUUUAUUAUUGGAUUUAAAUUUUAAAAAUUUAAAGUAAAUUGGAUUUAAUAGUAAUUUUUAUUAUUAUAUAAUUUUGAUUUUAGUUCUAAAUUAUGUAC
rnacentral:rRNA from 1 species